CCCUGCUGGUCACAGACAGUGCAGGGCUGGGCUUGGCAGGGAUGGGAAGUCAGAAAGGUAGGGAAAGCCUCAUAGUGAAUAUGGGCCUUCCUUUAGGCUUUGAGGGAUGAGCCACCCUGGGUUGGGAAGAAAGAGAAAGGAGCAGGAAUGAUGUUCCAGGGAGGGCGAACAGCCUGGAUAAAGAUCUAGAGGUGGUCCAGUCUGAGUAAGAAGAAGAAACCAGGAAAAGGAUUCCUGGUUUCUGGAGCGCUUUACAGACUUCAGCCUCCUGCCACAGCACUGAGACAGCAUCUAUGACCAUGGCCACUUUAUGGUAUGACCAACUGGGACCCUGGUCCACCACCAGAGAGUGAAGUCUCCAGCAGUGGACAUCCCUCAUUAACUUCCUGGGCCUUCUACAGCCUCAAACAUCCAGCCCCUGAGUGAGGGUGGACUAUCCCAGUUAAAUAUAUGAGUUUUUAAAGACAGAGGAGCAAGGAAGACUGCUUGUUAACCACUGAGACCUGACCCAUUCCUCUGCUUUCCACACAUUAGGCCAACCCCUAUACUAUUUAAUUAUUCAAUAAAAUGAACCAAUAAAAGUAUAAUAACUAGA